rnacentral:rRNA from 1 species
CGCUAGCUACAGGCUUAACACAUGCAAGUCGAGGGGCAUCAGGAAGAAAGCUUGCUUUCUUUGCUGGCGACCGGCGCACGGGUGAGUAACACGUAUCCAACCUGCCCUUUACUCGGGGAUAGCCUUUCGAAAGAAAGAUUAAUACCCGAUGGCAUAAUGAUUCCGCAUGGUUUCAUUAUUAAAGGAUUCCGGUAAAGGAUGGGGAUGCGUUCCAUUAGGUUGUUGGUGAGGUAACGGCUCACCAAGCCUUCGAUGGAUAGGGGUUCUGAGAGGAAGGUCCCCCACAUUGGAACUGAGACACGGUCCAAACUCCUACGGGAGGCAGCAGUGAGGAAUAUUGGUCAAUGGGCGCUAGCCUGAACCAGCCAAGUAGCGUGAAGGAUGAAGGCUCUAUGGGUCGUAAACUUCUUUUAUAUAAGAAUAAAGUGCAGUAUGUAUACUGUUUUGUAUGUAUUAUAUGAAUAAGGAUCGGCUAACUCCGUGCCAGCAGCCGCGGUAAUACGGAGGAUCCGAGCGUUAUCCGGAUUUAUUGGGUUUAAAGGGAGCGUAGGUGGACUGGUAAGUCAGUUGUGAAAGUUUGCGGCUCAACCGUAAAAUUGCAGUUGAUACUGUCAGUCUUGAGUACAGUAGAGGUGGGCGGAAUUCGUGGUGUAGCGGUGAAAUGCUUAGAUAUCACGAAGAACUCCGAUUGCGAAGGCAGCUCACUGGACUGCAACUGACACUGAUGCUCGAAAGUGUGGGUAUCAAACAGGAUUAGAUACCCUGGUAGUCCACACAGUAAACGAUGAAUACUCGCUGUUUGCGAUAUACAGUAAGCGGCCAAGCGAAAGCAUUAAGUAUUCCACCUGGGGAGUACGCCGGCAACGGUGAAACUCAAAGGAAUUGACGGGGGCCCGCACAAGCGGAGGAACAUGUGGUUUAAUUCGAUGAUACGCGAGGAACCUUACCCGGGCUUAAAUUGCAGUGGAAUGAUGUGGAAACAUGUCAGUGAGCAAUCACCGCUGUGAAGGUGCUGCAUGGUUGUCGUCAGCUCGUGCCGUGAGGUGUCGGCUUAAGUGCCAUAACGAGCGCAACCCUUAUCUUUAGUUACUAACAGGUUAUGCUGAGGACUCUAGAGAGACUGCCGUCGUAAGAUGUGAGGAAGGUGGGGAUGACGUCAAAUCAGCACGGCCCUUACGUCCGGGGCUACACACGUGUUACAAUGGGGGGUACAGAAGGCAGCUAGCGGGUGACCGUAUGCUAAUCCCAAAAGCCUCUCUCAGUUCGGAUCGAAGUCUGCAACCCGACUUCGUGAAGCUGGAUUCGCUAGUAAUCGCGCAUCAGCCACGGCGCGGUGAAUACGUUCCCGGGCCUUGUACACACCGCCCGUCAAGCCAUGGGAGCCGGGGGUACCUGAAGUACGUAACCGCAAGGAUCGUCCUAGGGUAAAACUGG